rnacentral:sRNA from 1 species
UUAAAACAAAAAGACAGCCGAACAAUUGUAUAUAAACCCAAAAACCCAACAUAAUUAUAUCUAAAAAUUUAGCCACAAUUAUACCUAAAACCAAAAACACAACACU